UAUGUGGCAAGGUUAAGUGUAAGAAUCUAUGUAAACAAUAUAUGUGGCAAGGUUAAGUGUAAGAAUCUAUGUAAACAAUAUAUGUGGCAAGGUUAGGUGUAAGAAUCUAUGUAAACAAUAUAUGUGGCAAGGUUAAGUGUAAGAAUCUAUGUAAACAAUAUAUGUGGCAAGGUUAGGUGUAAGAAUCUAUGUAAACAAUAUAUGUGGCAAGGUUAAGUGUAAGAAUCUAUGUAAACAAUAUAAGUGGCAAGGUUAAGUGUAAGAAACAGUGCGGCAGAUUCAUGAGGAUAAUGUAUAAUUGCUAAGAAACGUAAAAAUGAAGAAAUAGCAAAACGUUCAUGAGGUAAAAUUACAUUAGUCUACGAUUUUCACCUAAUUUUCUUUUAGUUCUCGCAAAUAAAAGGGUAACUAUUGUAGAAGAAUCUCUCUCUCUCUCUCUCUCUCUCUCUCUCUCUC